rnacentral:lncRNA from 1 species
CUCCUCUACCCGGACACUCCUGCUAAGAUGGAGACCACAUCACAAGAAGCUUUCUGCUUCAGACCCGUCUCACAACAUGACAGAGGCAAAGGAGACCAUAUUGCCCUGAACACACAGCAGGAGUCCCUCCGUUCUCAUCCCACAUCCUCGAGACAAACAGGAAGAGAAAACAGCAGCAGGGGCCGGAAACCAGGGGAGGACGAUCAAGAAGGCAACCAUGAUCAGACAGCAGGGACAAACGAACGAGAUACGACAAAGAUGCAGUCUCAGUAUCAGAAGGAUUUCCCUCCUCCGUCCUCCUGCUGCAGAAGGCGAACACCUGCCCUCCCACAGCCAGACAACAUCGGCAUCAACCCUGCCUUUAGGAUCGACUUUAGCACAGUGCAAAGAGAGAAUUACCCUGGUUGGCCCAUCAUGAGUCCCAUGUGUGCAGGGAGGCUGAGAGCGGCCUCGUCCGGGAAACCAAACAUGAAAAAAUAAAUAAAAGAAUGUAAAAAAUAAAGUCAUGUUCAAAUUUUUUACCAAUUGCAGCAAAUGUCUAAUUCCAUCAAAUGGCUAUCGAUCCCUAUAAAUCCUAGCUUGUUAUAUUCAUAGUGCACACAGUAAUAAACAUGAUUUUAUAAACCAGUGUGGGCUUUUGGGUUAUGUGUGUCAGUCUUUGAAUCACUUCUACAUUCUUCUUAUAAAUAACACUAACAUUUUUGAUCUAACUCCUCAGUUUAGACAUAAGUGAAAUCGAAGUCAGAGGUGUUGAGUUCUCCUUCACUAACCACAUCCAGCACAUUGUGUGCCUGUCUGGAAAUAUAUACUUUCUUCAAAAUGUGCUAAGGUG